CCUACGGGAGGCUGCAGUGGGGAAUAUUGCACAAUGGGCGCAAGCCUGAUGCAGCCAUGCCGCGUGUGUGAAGAAGGCCUUCGGGUUGUAAAGCACUUUCAGCGGGGAGGAAGGCGGUGAGGUUAGUAACCUCAUCGAUUGACGUUACCCGCAGAAGAAGCACCGGCUAACUCCGUGCCAGCAGCCGCGGUAAUACGGAGGGUGCAAGCGUUAAUCGGAAUUACUGGGCGUAAAGCGCACGCAGGCGGUCUGUCAAGUCGGAUGUGAAAUCCCCGGGCUCAACCUGGGAACUGCAUUCGAAACUGGCAGGCUAGAGUCUUGUAGAGGGGGGUAGAAUUCCAGGUGUAGCGGUGAAAUGCGUAGAGAUCUGGAGGAAUACCGGUGGCGAAGGCGGCCCCCUGGACAAAGACUGACGCUCAGGUGCGAAAGCGUGGGGAGCAAACAGGAUUAGAUACCCGUGUAGUC
rnacentral:rRNA from 1 species